CGGCGGCACGCCCCUGCACAUGGACCUCCCCCGUCCCCGCCAUCCCUGCCGAUCCUGUUGCUGCCGCCUUCCCGCCGUGCUCGGGCUGCCCGGGACUCUAGCCGCCAGGCUUCGCGUCGCCCAGCGGCAGAUCGGGCUCCUGGGAGCCUCUCCCCUGGCCGUUUGCUCGGCCUCGGCCCCAGCUGCCCUGGGGCCUAGCCACUAGCUCCCCUGGCGCUAGCCUACCCUGUCUUGACCGCACCCUGAAGAUUUGGGAAGUCUUUCUCCAUCCCAAGAGUCGUCUCUGCAAAAGUUGGUGUCCUUCCUGGUGCUGAACCACGCUUCUGCUCAAAAUGUGUUGAGCGUCGUCUGUCUGCAAAGCACGGUGCCAGGAGCUUUGGUGGAGAAGGCAUGGGGUACAUGUGUAAAGAGUACAGGCUUUUGGUUAAACCUGAAGUCCUCCUCUACUUUCUGGGGGACCCUGGCCGUCCUUGCUGAGCCUCCGUUGACUUCUCUAAUGGGGACGCUCAAGCUGAGCUUUCGCUCACCGUCCACCACUGCUGUCUGCCGCUGUCACAGACCCACAGCUGACUUCCAUCCCUCUGGAUCCAGCGAGGCGCCCAUUGCUGCUCCUGAUCGGGCUAAAGGCUUGCCCUUGUUCCUGCAGGGCUAAGUGCCCAGGUUCGUCCUAAUCUAGCUAAACACUAGUCACUGGGUUCCACGAUUCUCUUCCAUGACCCACAGCUUCUAAUAGAGCUAUAACACUCGCCGCUUGGCCCAAGAUUCCAUUCCUUGGAAUCCAUGAGGCCAAGAACCCCAGGUCAGAGAACACAAGACUUGCCACCAUCUCGGAAGUGGCCCGUCACCAUCUUGGAAGCGACCUGCCACCAUCUUGGGAACUUGGGGAGCAAGGACCCCCAGUAACAUAGUGACCAGGAGGAAAUUCUUCCUCUCAACAGCUAAUGCAGCAGGAUCUCUUACACCGUACCCUCCCUCACCUUGCUCUUGCUCUUCAUGGUAGAACACGUACCAUAUCUUAGCUGUACUCUAUCAACUGCGCAUCUGAAGUAAAGAGUGAAGUCUUCUUUGUUUCCAGUCAUGGAGCAACAACUUGCUAUGAUACUGGCCUUCUGUAGCUGACUCUUCUUUGUCUACCCAGGCACUCUAAUGGAACUUUAAUUCUAGCUAAAGUUAUUUUCUCAGACUCCUUUGAAGCAAGGGGCAGCCAUUUGACACACUUCAAGCCAAUGAGUUGAAUGUUGAACUUAUUGCUGAGGCUUCUAAGAAAGCAUAUAGAUGGAAGGGCUCUGCGAAUCAGAGCUCAUCUUUGCCCUACACCUGUCUUCCAGGAGGAACGUGAAGAGCUACAGCACUCAUAGUUCAGUCAUGAAACAACAAACAGGAGAACAAUGGCCUGCAUUCCAAGGAUGGCAGAGCAGAAAACUGUAAAGAGGCUGGGCAUUUGAUGGCAUUGUGGUGCCACCAGACAAGCCCUAAGCUAUCUUCCCUAAGACUUCUUGUUUUGGGUCAAAUUCCUGUUUAAGCCAGGAAGUUUUCACAACCUUCACCACCCAGUCCUGCAGCUGUUGUCUCAUGCUUGUGACUCAGACUUCCAGGAAUCCUUUAGAAGUGAUGUGGUGAUCUCGUUUGGCACUAUGCAAUGUACACUAUUAAUGAAGGUACCCUAAUAAUUAUAAAUAUUAAGACAGAAUGUGCAUUUCACAGUGAUUUAAACACUCUUUAACACUCUUUAAAACAGUCCAUCAAAGGUUCGCUAACACAGAGAAAAACAUUUAAAAUUGUAAUAAAGGCUGGGCGCAGUGGCUUGCCUCUAAUCCCAGCACUUCAGGAGGCCGAGGCAGGCAGAUUGCUUGAGCUCAGGACUUUAAGACCAGACUGGGCAACACGGAGAAACCCCGUCUCUACAAAAAAAUUCAAAAAUAAGCCGGGCGUGGUGGUGCACGCCUGUGUUCCCAGCUACUCUGAAGGCUGAGGUGGGAGGAUUGCUUGAACCCAGAAGGUAGAGGUUGCAGUGAGCUGAGACCAUACCAUGCACUCCAGCCUGGGUGAUAGAGUGAGACUCUGUCUCAAGAAAGAAUAAAAAGUAAAAAUAAAAUUGUAAUGAACAUUCAAGAAAUUGAAAUAUACGGGUACAAAGAUGAUAUAGUAUCAGAAAAAAUGAUUUUUUUUAAAUUUUACAGCCACUUGAAUUAAGUACCUAAAAAUGCUUUUGAUGCUGUUGAGCUUGGCUAUGAUAACAACAGUAUGUAAAUAUUCCACUUUUGUUAAAAUAUGUAUAAACAGGUAUGUGUACAGAGCAGUGUAUGAAAGGGUGGUCCCCAGAAUAUUGAUAGUGUUUGACGUGGAAUUUGGGCUAGGAAAAAUAAUUACCAAUGAGGAGAUACAAGAUAGCAGCAGUUAGGGAGAGGCCGUCCAUGCAGCUGCCUAUUUAAAUCACUGUCCAUGUUAACAGAUAAGAACUGGAAAUGUCAAAGAACAAUUGCCCAGCUCAGUUACCAUCUGCUACUAAAGAUAGCCCCAGCUGGGUGCGAUGGCUCACACCUGUAAUCCCAACACUUUGGGAGGCUGAGGCAGGUGGAUCACCUGAGGUCAGGAAUUCAAGACCAGCCUGGCCAACAUGGUGAAACCCCAUCUCUACUAAAAAUACAAAAAAUUAGCUAGGUGUGGUGGUGCAUGCCUGUAAUCCCAGCCACUAGGGAGGCUAAGGCAGGAGAAUUGCUUGAACUCUGGCAGCAGAGGUUGCAGUGAGCUGAGAUUGUGCCACUGCACUCCAGCCUGGUCGACAGAGUGAGACUCAGUCUCAAAAAAAAAAAGCCCGUAAUGAGAACUCUCAAGAGUACCAUGGUAAUAUAAUAUGGUAAUAGAUAAUAAAAGAGUCAUGAUCAUUAAUAAUAAAUAUAAUACUUCUACUUCAACUGAGGAAUGGAAAACUAAACAUCAUAUGUUCUCAUAUGUCCCUAAGCUAUGAGGAUGCAAAGGCAUAAGAAUGAUACAAUGGACUUUGGGGACUUUCAGGGAAAGGGUGAGAAGGGCGUAAGGGAUAAAAGACUACAAAUUGGGUUCAGUAUAUACUGCUCGGGUGAUGGGUGCACCAAAAUCUUAAAAAUCGCCAAAGAACUUAUGUAACUAAAUACCACCUGUUCCCCAAAAAACUAUGGAAAUUAAAAAUUAAAAAAUAAGUAUAAUUUCUGCUUUAGCGAUAUUAACUAUUCAGUACACAAUAAGUGAGUUUAGCAAUUCAGUGAUUUCUGACUGUUGGGUAGCUCUCUUUGUUAACAAAUAAAAUAUAAAUUUGAAGAAACUUAUUUGUAAAUAA
rnacentral:lncRNA from 10 species